CGCAGGAGGGAGGAGCAGCUCCAGGCAGGGCGCUGACCCAGGACCCGACCCCAGGUCCCCGGGUCCCCAGGAGCCCGCCCUGCGCCGCAGGCAGCACUAGGCCGCUGAGCCGCCCGGGCUGCCCCGGAGUUUACUUUCCAAAUACAAGAAUGAAGCUGCAGUAUCGAGGGGAUACAGGCGAGGCUCACGGGGUCCUGGGCCGGGCUAGCAUCGCCUUGGCCCCGAGCGCAGCGGGACCUCGGGGCAGCCGCGUCCCUGCGCGCGUCUGCAGGUCGUGCCCUGUCCCCUGCGGGUCCCGCCCCCUCCUCAGCGUCGGUUGUAUGUAGUGGCUCCGAGGUAUUUCUGAAAUAGCAAACCUGGUGUACCACAAUCCAGCUGCGUGUUCUCUUACAUUUCAUGGAUUCAUCAGUCCUCCCGGGCGAUCCAGCCUUGAAGGGGAAACCAAGCCUCCAUAAGAGUCACACAAAAGACCGCAUUUUCUUCAGGAAUGGAGACUGAGAAAACCCAGAUGCCCAAUGACACGCAACUAAUUUUAUUUAUUUGACACAGAGAGAGAGAGAGAACAGCAGGGAGAAUGGCAGACAUAAGAAGGAGAAGUGAGCUCCCUGUUCAGCAAGGAACCCAGUGUGGGCCUCCAUUCCAGGGCCCUCGGAUCAUGCCCUGAGCGGAAGGCAGACGCUUACGACUGAGCCACCAAGGCGCCCCUGUAAGAACUCUUCUUAAGAUAUAAAUUUUAAUUCUUUGUCUAUCACACGUUAUAGUAACAACAACAAUAUUUAACGGUGUGGCAUUUGUCAUCUAAAUUUAUUUUGACAUAACAUAGUUUUGAACUUUCACUGAAUCAAUUUCUCAGUAUUUUUUCUAUGUUUUUGGUUAUAUUUAGAAAGACCCACCCACUGGUUGUUGAAGACUUUAAUAAGUUUUUCAUUCAGUUAAUGUCACUACAGAACAAAGAACAAUGAAGUCUUGGAAAGCAGCACAUUGUCUUAAUAUGAAAUGAUACCAACGUUGUUUCCAUUUAUAGAUGAUCUCUACAUGCUCUGAUCUAUUAAUAAAUAAGUAAGAUUUGUGCAGUGACUUAUAAUUUAAAGACUUCUUUCACUUAUAUAAUUUGGGCCUCACAAUAAAUCAUGUACUUAGAAAAAUAACUGCCUAAAGUCAGCAAGCAUUCUUUUCCAAGUAAAUUCUGCCUAAUUUUGAAUCUUUCUUGUUGUUAAGGGAUCUGAAGAUCAGCAACCACAGUAAAAAAAAAAAAAAAAAAAAAAAAACAUCAUGAACAAACCAGUUAGCAGACAUUUGCCAGGAAAUGGAUUGUUUGCAGAUUACUUGGCAUAGAUCCCCAUAAAGAAGCAAAUCUGUUCCCACCUCUUUACUCUACUUUUCCUGCCUGCUCUGUUCCAAAGAAGCAAAUGUUUAGAUAAAUUCGAAUCAUCCAAACUAGGAGUUUAUAUUAAUCUGAACAAGAUAAGUUAUAAAAACCAGGUGAUAUUCAAAUAUUACCCAUUUUUUCUAUAGUUGAUAUUUACAUUUAAAAAAAUAUCACCAAAGUUUUUUUUUUUUUUUUUUUUAGGGUUUUCUCUGUUUGGAAUUAAGUUACAAGUUUAA